AUUGGGUUUGUGUAGUAUCUAAAACAAAUGUGUGCUCCCUUAGCUGGCUUGCUUAAGGGCAAAUUGUUAGGAUAGUGAGCGAUGUCCAAAGGGCUGAAAGUUCAGACCUAGUCUAGGCAGGUUUUGGUGUGAGAAAGAAAGAUUUAUCAACUAAUUAAAAUUGGGCUUUUCAGAUUAGACCUAACACUCAAAGUCAGUGGUGACUUUUUCAAGGAGAACCCUAGUCAGGCACUGGGUAAUGGAAAUUGGACUCAGUUUCUGGGAGUGACAGUUUCGUCUGGUUACAUGGUUUUAGGACAGAGUUCUAUUCCUAGCAUAUCAUUAAAGGAUCAGGUAGAGACACUGAAGAAAAAGUAAGAGUCAUAUAGAUAUGUCCACCCAGUUGGUGAUGGAAGGAUGGAGAAAGAAGAAGAGAAAGAGAAGGUCUGGAUAUACUUGCAAAGCCUGUCUUUUUCAGCUAUGUACUCAAAACCAAGAACUGGUUCAAAAAAAAGCCUCAAGCAAGACGUCUACAAGCAAAAUGAACAAGAUGGUCUUCUUAACUUGGAUGAGAUAAAACAGUAGGAAGACCUUUAUGCUUUUGAAACUUACUACAUUUACCUAGUAUCCAUUCCAGAUUCUGACGAGCCACGGAAAUACCUGAUUUCAAAGAGAUGCUCGCACUCUGUACUGAUGCCAUCUAGGAGUAUAAAUGCCUAAUGUCACACUGCUGAGAAAGUGCCUGACCCAGAGCAACACAUAAGAAGCAAUCAAAUAACUACUGGUUGAACGAAUAAAUGCAUAUACUUUGUUACAGUGAAAAAAAGUGUUUGUAAAAAAAAAAAAGGAAAAAAAAAAGGUAAAAUACUGCACUAGCUUCCUUUGAUCCCAUGUCAUCUCCACUCUCAGAGGAUGCAGGCCAGUGCAGAGAAGAGGUGGAUUUUGAGUCUCUGACUCAACCCAAGGCACUGUGUCCAUGAGUGACCACUGCAUUCCUACAUUGGUUCCCCAGUCAUUGAGUAGAAGCAUUUAAUCCCAGUGCUGAUGAGUAGGUUUCUGCAUUAACCAAAGCUUAGCCUCUUUUGCUGGUAAUGCCCUCUGCUGCCUUAUUUCAGAGCCCGAGUCUUCUAUCUCCCCAUUAUUAUGAGUGUCACUCAGAGUCAAGUUUCUACCUUGGUCACUCCUAUACAUUAUGAUUACACUAAGUUGCCAGCUUCCACCAUGUCCCAGUUGUAGUUGGGGACAGGAGUAGCUUUUUCAGAUUCCUAUAACUGUGUAUAGAAACCCUUCGCUUAAAUUCCAAUUUAAAGCAAGGUCCUGUUAUCCAUGGUCCUCAGUUUCCUCCUUCUAAUACUUAUCUUAUCUGCCUAGAGUUCUGAAUAUCACAUACCUGCCUUUUCCAUCCUGUGGCUAUUUUUGGAACUCCUUCCUAUGCAGCCUUCUUGCUGCCUUGCUCCUCUGAGGGAAUCUCCACUUACAGAUAGACCUGACAUGAAAGCCAGCUUAAAACUUCUGUAGCUUGAUAUAAAUAAAUCAUCACAUCUGCCAAGUUGUUCUGAGUUGUAACAUUGGUUUCACCUAUUGAAGCAAUUAACAGUGCUUUCCAUUUUUGGAUCUAUGAGAACAUGAUCUGACAAGAAUAAUAAGUAUUUAGACCAUAAAUUCUGAAAUUAACAACCAGUGAGAAAAAUGUUAUCAGGACUUCUGAUUUUACCACAAAGAAGUUUUGCAUCAUACUGUUUUUGAAACAAAAAGGAAAGGAAAAUAAAGUUCACCCAUGAUCUUAUUCUUUAAAAUGGUGUGAAAAAGAACUGAAAGUUUUUUCCUCUACUCUUUCUAAUCCUAUUGCCUGGAGAAAAUGUUAGUAUUUAUCAAAUAUCUAUCUUGUGCUAGGAACUGCUGUAAGCCCUGAGGAUAUAGAAGUAAACAAACAAACAAACAAAAAACCUUCAUGAAGCUUAUAUUUUGAUUGGGAAAAAAUGCAAAUGGAAGAAAAGUGAAAAAAUAAUGAUAAGUGGUAAGAAGAAAAAUAACGUUGGGAUGGAGAAAAGAAGUGUUAGGGAGUAUAUACUGAAAUUUUAGAUUGUGAAGCUGGGAAAAUUUGACAGAGGGAUUGAUAUAUCAAACCAUACAAACCUCUGGAAAAGAACGUUCCAGGCAGAUGAAAUUGCCAGAACUAAGGCUUUGAGUUGAGUGUGACUUUAAUUUCUGAGGACAGCAAGAAGACCUGUGUGGAUGGAGUGGAGGGUAAAGGUAAAAAAGAAGUGAUAUUAUUAGCAGAUGGGAGUGGGAUGGGGGAGGGCCAAGGAUAUAUGUCAAAGUACUUUGAGUUUUAUUUGAGGCAGAUGAAAGAUAUUUUGGAAGACUUUGAAAAUAGGGUGACAUAAUCUCAGUCUAGUUUUAAAGGCUCAUGAUGGCUGUGUUGACAAAAUACUAAAGGGGGCAAAGUGUGAAGGAGAGAGGCAACAAAAAUUUGUAAAAAUUAAGGCCAGGAAUGAGUUUGGAAUAGUGUAGUCUUAGGAAUCCUAGUAAUUGAAUUUUGAGUAUAAUUUGAAGGUAAAGCCAAAAGGAUUUCUUAAUAGUUUAGAUGUGGGGCAUGAGACAAAUAGGGGAUUCAAGGAUGACCCCAACAUUUUGAGUCUAAAGAACUGGAAAGACAGAGUUGUCAUAAAGUGAGAUGGGGCAACUGUUAGAGCAAGUUUGGGAUGGCUUAAGGAUCAGAAGUUCAAUUUUAGACAUGUUAACUUUGAGAUGAUUAUGUGUUGUUCAGGUGGAGAUGUAAGUAAGCAAUUGGAUGUGAGCUUUGAGUCAGGGGAGAAGAGAUUCAGAAUGGAGCUACAAGUCUGGGUUUUAAACAUUUAGAUGGUAUUUAAAGACAGAGAAUGGAUUCAGUUACCGAGGAUGUGAUUGUAGAUGACAUGAGAACUGAUUUAAGGACAGAUCUUUGGCAAACUUUAAAGUUUAGGUAACUGGAAGGAGUAGAGAAAUUAGCAAAGGAAAACAAGAAUAAGGAACCAGAGAUUUAAGGAAAAUACUAGCUGAAUAUGGUAGCUUGUGAGUUAAGAGUAAAAAGUGAUUUAAGGAGUUUAUCCUAUAAUUAUAUAGAUCAUAUAUGUGUGACCAAGUAUAUAUAGGUUUACAUAUGCAUAUAUGUGUGUUUACAUGGGAAACGUUUUUUAUUUCAUAAAAUGAGAUCAUGCUGUACCUAAUCAUCUAAAAUCUGUUUUUUAAAAAUGAAUUUAUUAUGAAACAUUUUUUGUAUCAUCUUUACUCUUAAGAUUAAAGAUGUUUUAUUUUCAAAUUCUUGACUUUCUAGCAUUAUUAAAACAAAGUAUCAUGAUGAAAUUUAAAAACACAUGCAUACAAAGUACAGUGAAAAUAUUGGCUGUGAAUUUUUUAAGUAACACUUGUUCUUUUCUAUUUAGUUAGCAAAAAUUCCCUUUGUAAAAUUAGGAAACCAAAAGGGGGGAAAAACAAACCAAGGAUAAGGGAGUAGGAAACAAAUGUGAAAAAAGACAAAUUGUUCUUAUUUCUUUCAAUUUUUGUUAGUUCAUAUCAAUGCUUGCUGAUUCUUUUUUAUUAGAAUGAGGAAGUAAGCUUUGAAUAGAGCAGAAAUUUUUAUGAAAAAAAAUUAUGAAACAGCUAACA